rnacentral:rRNA from 1 species
GACGAACGCUGGCGGCGUGCCUAAUACAUGCAAGUCGAGCGGACAGAAGGGAGCUUGCUCCCGGAAGUUAGCGGCGGACGGGUGAGUAACACGUGGGCAACCUACCCUGUAGAUCGGGAUAACAUCGGGAAAUCCGUGCUAAUACCGGAUAAUCAUUUGAAGUGCAUGCUUCGAAUGUAAAAGAUGGCUCCGGCUAUCACUACGGGAUGGGCCCGCGGCGCAUUAGCUAGUUGGUAAGGUAAUGGCUUACCAAGGCAGCGAUGCGUAGCCGACCUGAGAGGGUGAUCGGCCACACUGGGACUGAGACACGGCCCAGACUCCUACGGGAGGCAGCAGUAGAGAAUCUUCCGCAAUGGACGAAAGUCUGACGGAGCAACGCCGCGUGAGUGAUGAAGGUUUUCGGAUCGUAAAGCUCUGUUGUUAGGGAAGAACAAGUGCCGUUUGAAUAAGGCGGCACCUUGACGGUACCUAACCGGAAAGCCACGGCUAACUACGUGCCAGCCGCCGCGGUAACAC